rnacentral:rRNA from 1 species
GGGUUGUGAGGUUAAGCGACUAAGCGUACACGGUGGAUGCCCUGGCAGUCAGAGGCGAUGAAGGACGUGCUAAUCUGCGAUAAGCGUCGGUGAGGUGAUAUGAACCGUUAUAACCGGCGAUUUCCGAAUGGGGAAACCCAGUGUGUUUCGACACACUAUCAUUAACUGAAUCCAUAGGUUAAUGAGGCGAACCGGGGGAACUGAAACAUCUAAGUACCCCGAGGAAAAGAAAUCAACCGAGAUUCCCCCAGUAGCGGCGAGCGAACGGGGAGGAGCCCAGAGCCUGAAUCAGUGUGUGUGUUAGUGGAAGCGUCUGGAAAGGCGCGCGAUACAGGGUGACAGCCCCGUACACAAAAAUGCACAUAUUGUGAGCUCGAUGAGUAGGGCGGGACACGUGGUAUCCUGUCUGAAUAUGGGGGGACCAUCCUCCAAGGCUAAAUACUCCUGACUGACCGAUAGUGAACCAGUACCGUGAGGGAAAGGCGAAAAGAACCCCGGCGAGGGGAGUGAAAAAGAACCUGAAACCGUGUACGUACAAGCAGUGGGAGCCUCUUUAUGGGGUGACUGCGUACCUUUUGUAUAAUGGGUCAGCGACUUAUAUUCUGUAGCAAGGUUAACCGAAUAGGGGAGCCGAAGGGAAACCGAGUCUUAACUGGGCGUUAAGUUGCAGGGUAUAGACCCGAAACCCGGUGAUCUAGCCAUGGGCAGGUUGAAGGUUGGGUAACACUAACUGGAGGACCGAACCGACUAAUGUUGAAAAAUUAGCGGAUGACUUGUGGCUGGGGGUGAAAGGCCAAUCAAACCGGGAGAUAGCUGGUUCUCCCCGAAAGCUAUUUAGGUAGCGCCUCGUGAAUUCAUCUCCGGGGGUAGAGCACUGUUUCGGCAAGGGGGUCAUCCCGACUUACCAACCCGAUGCAAACUGCGAAUACCGGAGAAUGUUAUCACGGGAGACACACGGCGGGUGCUAACGUCCGUCGUGAAGAGGGAAACAACCCAGACCGCCAGCUAAGGUCCCAAAGUCAUGGUUAAGUGGGAAACGAUGUGGGAAGGCCCAGACAGCCAGGAUGUUGGCUUAGAAGCAGCCAUCAUUUAAAGAAAGCGUAAUAGCUCACUGGUCGAGUCGGCCUGCGCGGAAGAUGUAACGGGGCUAAACCAUGCACCGAAGCUGCGGCAGCGACACUAUGUGUUGUUGGGUAGGGGAGCGUUCUGUAAGCCUGUGAAGGUGGCCUGUGAGGGUUGCUGGAGGUAUCAGAAGUGCGAAUGCUGACAUAAGUAACGAUAAAGCGGGUGAAAAGCCCGCUCGCCGGAAGACCAAGGGUUCCUGUCCAACGUUAAUCGGGGCAGGGUGAGUCGACCCCUAAGGCGAGGCCGAAAGGCGUAGUCGAUGGGAAACAGGUUAAUAUUCCUGUACUUGGUGUUACUGCGAAGGGGGGACGGAGAAGGCUAUGUUGGCCGGGCGACGGUUGUCCCGGUU